GCGUCACCCACCUGACUUUAAUCCUCCAUUUAAUAGCUUAACAUAUUCUUCAUUGAGGUAAUAGGUUUAAAGGGAAGUUUAGAAAUGGGACCAAGAUUGAACUUGUAACUUUUUAAAAUUUCUGCUUGGUAAAAGAUAGUCCCCGGAAAGAAAAAAAAAUAGUGUAUAAAAAUGUCCCUAUCCAUCAUAUAUUUUUUCCAUGAAAACUCUGGGAUACGUUGCAUACUUAAAUUAGCCUGCUAUGUAUUCCUUUUAGAUGUUGAUCUUUAAGGUAGUCACAUGAUAAAUCUGAAUACGCUUGCAUCAAUGUUUACAUUGGUUAGGUCUACUAUAGAAUAAGAGAGAGUCUUAUAGAGAAAUCAGGAGCAUUUAAAUAACUCCAUCUCCAAUUAUAUAAAAAACAAUGCUGAUAAUCUCCUGGAGGUAGGAGAGUGGGCGGCGUGCCUACUGAAAAGCUUGGCUGAAUUGUGAUUCAAACCAGGUCUGUGAAUAGCUGCUGUUCAGUGGGCACAGGGUCUAUUGUUUCAACCUGGGAACCCUAGACCAAAUGGCACAACAUUCUGUAAAUGUAGGUUCAAGUACAGCUCCUUUCCAGCUACAGAGGCUCUGAAGUUACCCAAACUAUUUAAAAAACAUAAAAACACAAUGAUCUGGUUUGGUAAUGGUAGCAGUUUGUCUGUAUCAAUGUUAAGUCAGCCGUGGUCUCCUUCAUGGGGAAAAGCCCUAUGGAAGGGCUUGGCUGUGGCUUGGGGUUUCCAUCUUCUCCCAGUAGUGGCUGUCGGGCUGUGGUAUAAAACCUCCCUUUGAACAAUUUGAUAUCUCAACCAAAUUUCAGCUAGGAAUGUUAAAACGUAAUCGUGGAAGAUUAAGAAUAAAUUUACACCUAAGCCAUAUAAUUCCAAGGCCAAGAUAAACCCAUUUCCCUUAAUAUUCUGAUCAUCUAUCUGGGAGUGCAAAUAUUCACAUGGAAAUGAGGUCGGCUGAAAUGUUUAGCUUAUGUUGGAAGAGGUGUCUGCUAAGCAGCUGAGAAAUGUAUUCAUUCCAGUCUUUCCAUUUGACAAGGUUCAUUCUCCCAAGCAAAAUACUAAGAGUGCAGUGACAGCAGCAGAGCCUGUUCCAUUUCCUUUCCUGACUUUAAUCUUCGCCUAGGAAAAAUAUUUGUUGAAAUGCUAUAAUGUGUGGGCAUUGAGACUCUUAUUUAGAUAUUUAAAUUGCUUUGACUUUCUAUUAAGUCACUAGAUCUAGCAAAGCUCUUUUAAUCUUUAUUUAAAUGGGUGCUUAUUAUUUUUUGGAUUAAUAGUGAUUAUUGUAAUCACCCAGUGCUUUCCAGCUAGAAACAUAAUCUCAUGCUUGUUAUUAUUUUAUUAUAUUGUUGACAUGAUGACAAGACUUUCAGUACAUGGAUCGAUAGAUAUUAUGUUAUCUCUAAUCCCAGUUUUGUUUUGUUUUUUAAUAAUUGAAGUUCAGAAAGAACUUUUAUUUAUCUUGUUAAGUUUUAUUUAUCUUUUAAGUGUCAAACUUACAUUUCAUUCCAGCCAUUUGAACUUUAACUGCUCUGUUCUUUCCACGGUGGCUUUGAAAUGACAUGUUUUGAAGGGCCUGCAUUUAGCAUGGGGAGUCUCAGGGACUUGAACUCCUGCAUCACCACAGUGAUGCUUCUGAGUGAGGUCCAAGUUGCAUCAGCAGGAUAAGCAACUGUUCUGAAGUUUCACUUUAAUCAGUGGUACCAACACACUGCAGGAGCCCCCCCUUGACCUUGCUUUCCUUUAGCAUAUGU
rnacentral:lncRNA from 1 species